rnacentral:rRNA from 1 species
GUAGGGUGCGAGCGUUAAUCGGAAUUACUGGGCGUAAAGCGUGCGCAGGCGGCUUUGCAAGACAGAGGUGAAAUCCCCGGGCUCAACCUGGGAACUGCCUUUGUGACUGCAAGGCUAGAGUACGGCAGAGGGGGAUGGAAUUCCGCGUGUAGCAGUGAAAUGCGUAGAUAUGCGGAGGAACACCGAUGGCGAAGGCAAUCCCCUGGGCCUGUACUGACGCUCAUGCACGAAAGCGUGGGGGGAGCAAACAGGAUUAGAUACCCUGGUAGUCCACGCCCCUAAACGAUGUCAACUGGUUGUUGGACGGCUUGCUGUUCAGUAACGAAGCUAGCGCGUGAAGUUGACCCGCCUGGGGAGUACGGCCGCAAGGUUG